UUAUUCGAGAAUCGACCUCGAUAGAGUAUAUCGACAGAGUAGAUAGAGUAUAUAGUGUCUCGACUUUAAUAAAUAUUUUCAAUUGACUUGUAAACACCUAAACACGUAAUAUUUAUAAUUAUGUCUACCCCUACUCCAGAUAAUCCAGAUCAAUACGACCAGUUCGAUGAUGAAGAAUCGGAUCAGCAGCAAGGAGCUACAGCUUCAGAUCGUAAAAGACUGUUCAGUAAGGAGUUGCGCUGUAUGAUGUAUGGGUUUGGUGAUGAUAAGAACCCUUACACAGAGAGUGUUGACUUCCUGGAAGAUCUUGUUAUUGAGUUUAUUACAGAAACCACACACAGAGCAAUGGAAGUGGGAAGACAUGGCCGAGUGCAAGUAGAAGAUAUGAUAUUCUUAGUACGUAAGGACCCCAGGAAAUAUGCUCGUGUGAAAGAUUUGCUCACAAUGAAUGAAGAACUUAAGAAGGCUAGGAAGGCUUUUGAUGAAGUAAAAUAUGUUGAAGAUCAACAAUAGUAUUGGCUGAGUGUGAUACCCCAUGCUCCUAAGACUGAAGCAAAAUGAAAACAAAUGCCAUUGGACUGAAUGUUUAUUGACAAGGAAGAUUUACAUUCCAAAGGAUAAAAUGUAUCAAAGUGUACUACCGACGUAAAUGUGGAAAAAGGUUAUUUUUAUUUUUGAGUUAUGUUUAUGUAUCUUUAUUAAUAAUAAAAAUAUAUUUCCAUAUGAUAUUAUUGUAA